UACAGAGGGUGCAAGCGUUAAUCGGAAUUACUGGGCGUAAAGCGCACGUAGGCGGUUUAGUAAGUCGGAUGUGAAAUCCCCGGGCUUAACCUGGGAAUUGCAUUCGAUACUGCUAGGCUAGAGUAUGGUAGAGGGUAGUGGAAUUCCGGGUGUAGCGGUGAAAUGCGUAGAUAUCCGGAGGAACACCAGUGGCGAAGGCGGCUACCUGGACCAAUACUGACGCUGAGGUGCGAAAGCGUGGGGAGCAAACAGG
rnacentral:misc_RNA from 1 species